ACAGGAUAGAUGAGCUUUCAUUUGAUAAGCGACAACGCCAUGUUCUAGAAAGUUUGAUUUUUGCACUUAAUAACCCUAUCCAACUAAUUUUUGGAGGUCGAGAUUUGAUAUUUCCAAUGUACACAUCAUGACCUUUCAUUUAAUAUACAACAACCCAAUUGUAAAAGAUUUUUUUUUGCACUCAAUGACCCCAUCCAACCAAUUUUCGGGGGACGUGAAUUUGAAAUUUGAAAUGUACGCUUUAUGUUCUUUCAUUUGAUAUGCGACAACCUUACCAUCUGAAAAAUUUGAAUGUUUGCACUAAAUGACCACACCCUUCCCCCUGGGAUGAAAAAGAGGUUUAAAAUUUUCAUUUUUAAGCAGAGUUUAUUGAGACCUUCAAUUUGAUAUAUCAGUUGACCCCAUUUGGCAAAGUGUCAAAAAUGAUGCAAUAUCAACGAUAUAAAUAGAAGUUAUGAAACUUACAAAGUUAAUGCAAAACAUGAAAAUUUCAAAAUGAUUUUUUUUGGUGUUUUUUCCCAUGGAAUGUUUUUGGUAUUUGGUCAAACAUAUAACUAUGCCAACCUCUUCAAUUUCUUAAACAUUUUAAGUGGUAAGCUGUUGUUGAUUCAGAAAUACAUGCCGCCGCUCACAAAAUUUCAAACUGCAUUAUCUCUAAAACGACAGCAGAUAUCUCAAAUCUGUUAAAUGGUAAAUGAUCUACAGUUAAAGGACAACAUCAUAAAAAAAGAAUUGGGACAAUUUCAAUGUUCACCAAGGUCACAAUUAAUCAUCAAAUAUAUGAUGCAAUACCAAACUUGAGAACCGGAAGUCGUAGAGACAUGGGACUAUCACCAUUCAACUCAAGACCACUUGACCUUUCAAAUAUCACAAGGUCAAGGUCAUAGUAUAAUGUGAAGGUCAAGGUGAAAUUUCAUCAUGACCUGACAUUGACCUCAAAUUGAAGGUCUUGAAUUACUGAUCAUCUUUUCAGUUUAUAGUAGGUUGAUAUCUGUUACCUUUAAAAAGAUAUACAUAAAAUACUAUACUUUUAAGAAUCAUCCCGUUGUAACUUUUGAACAGACGGUCGGACAUUUUUGGGCUUAUUAUAUAAAAUGUAGAGUUCGUCGAGAGGAACAUUUUAUACGCUGUAUGUAGGCAGCAAAGUCUUAUCGUUUUCCUAAUAUGUAAGCUUGAAAUUGCAGCGUAAUUUUUUUUUGCACUCUGUGACCUUUGACUUUGGGUGCAUAUUGAAGGUCACAUGAAUUAAAGAUUAUUGGUGAAGGUCCCAAGUCUCUACGACUUCCAGUUCUCGAAAUAGAUUUUUUCUAAUUGUAUACAAUUUUUCAAGGGGAAUAACUCCUUAUAAGGGUUAAUAACAAAAUGAUUGUAUAUGUUCAUUAACAUUGCCAUCUGUUCCUGUACAUGUUGCCGUUUUCAAAUCGAUUCUAUCUCUAACAUUUUUUGAGAAAUGAGCAAAGGAAAGAAAUUGUUUCAAGGGGAAAUAACUCUCAAAGGGGAUGAUGAAAUUCUAUGCAGCCUCAUAUGGUAAUACAUCAUUAUGAGAUGUACCUAUUGUCCAAAUAAGAUCAUGAUAUCUUUAAAAAGAACGAGGGGGGCCAUGUUGAAAAAAAUCAAUAAAAGGGAGAUAACUUCUAAAGGGGAUGAUGAAAUCCUACACAGCCUCAUCUGGUAAUACUUCAUAAUGAGGUCUACCGAUGGUCCAUAUUUGGUUUUAAUAACUCCAAUAGAAACGAGGGGAGGCCAUGUCAAACAAAUGCUGGAUGAAAAAAAAAAAAAAAAAAAAACUAGUAUCUCAAUUGUUUGUAAAACAAUUGAAAGGUCUUUCCUGUAAAAGUGAUGUUUUCGUAAUGUUCUUUGUAUGACCUUUCGUUUGAUAUACGACAACAAUACCUUCUGAAACUUUUCGCUUUUUACACUUAAUGACCCCAUCCGCCUACAUUUUUGGGAUCGGAAGUAUGAUAUAUGUAACACAGGGUAGAUGAGCUUUCAUUUGAUAUGCGACAACGCCAUGUUCUAAAAAGUUUGAUUUUUGUACUUAAUAACCCCAUCCAA
rnacentral:lncRNA from 1 species